UUUUAUCUGUGUUUGACUUGGCUUUUAGAACAUUUCUCUUUAUUUGAGAAGCUUCCAUAAGUAAAAAGUUUAGAAUAUCUCAAAAGACGACUAGAAAUUAAAACUAAACUAUUAUUUGGCAAAGUUUAGUCAGUAGAUUUCUAAUGAAAAAAGCUUUCGGUAGUUACUAGUAGGGGACUUGUUGUGCUGUUAGGAGCACGGGGAUGUUUCUAAGCGUUUUCGAUAAUUAAACUAUCGAAUCGACGAUCAGCUCAGGUAAAUUUAAUCUCACGUAUAAAAUAUCUGGAAAAUAAAUUUUACAUUUUUUUGAAAUUAUCUAAUGAUCGAAAGGGUUAAAAAUCAAUAUUUUUUAAUGAUUGAUGUAUGAUAUUUGUAAAUUUAAUGAUGUAGAAAUAUUCAAAUCAGAUAAAAAUUUUGAUAGAUUUUUUUUUUUACUAUCUACAGCAAGAUUAAUAUCUCUGAUCGAAAAGUUUAGUAUUAUAUAAUAAUUUUGUAUGAGAUGUUUAUUUCUAACAGCUGAUUUUGAAUUAUUUAUAUCACUAGAUAAAUGAUGUUAAAAAACCACAAUAUUUAUUUUCUAGAUAAUUUAAAUACGCUAAAGCCGAUUCUUGAUUCAAAAGUUUCAUUAUUGAAAACGACAAUAACACACGUGUUCUCUGAUAGCUACGGAAUGUUCUUGAAAAUUACAUAUUUAAUUUGUAGAAAAAGCACAAAAAGUUAGGCAAGAAAAAGUAAAUUUCAUUGAUGGUCCCAAGAAGAUGAAAUAAUAAUGACAUGGAAUCCUUGCUAUUGCCACAUCUAGAAAUGUCAGCACCAUAUCACUGCCAUGUCACUAGCAGGAAAUAUAUUAAACGCUUCUAGAAGUUUUAAAUUAUACAUUGAAGAUAAUUU
rnacentral:lncRNA from 1 species